GAGACAGCAGUCGCCGCGGGAAUACGAAGGGUGCAAGCGUUAAUCGGAAUUACUGGGCGUAAAGCGUGCGUAGGCGGUGAGUUAAGUCUGCUGUGAAAUCCCCGGGCUCAACCUGGGAAUGGCAGUGGAUACUGGCUCGCUAGAGUGUGUCAGAGGAUGGUGGAAUUCCCGGUGUAGCGGUGAAAUGCGUAGAGAUCGGGAGGAACAUCAGUGGCGAAGGCGGCCAUCUGGGACAACACUGACGCUGAGGCACGAAAGCGUGGGGAGCAAACAGGAUUAGAUACCCGGGUAGUCCCUGUCUCUUAUAA
rnacentral:rRNA from 1 species